UUAUCUUUUACCAGAAUAUUCAAAAACCAAAGAAAGAAAAAAAAAUAUGGGGGCUUUGUUUCGACGCUUGGUGUUAGAGUUGAAAACAGAAGGUUUUAAUCUGCUUUUGUCAGCCCAAUCGAUAACCAGCUGCAUCGUUCUAUAUAUAUACCAUAGUAUAACAGUGCUACCAACGUAUUAGUCGAAAUACAGGUUUUGUCAAUUGCUGCUUACUUUAUCGACCGAGCAAGUAUUUGAGUUAUCAACCAACAGCAUUUAUUCGAAGGUAUUGUCGUUCUAUACUGAAGUAAACACUCUCUUCAAAAGCAUAAAGUAAAUCAUAAUACACAACGGCUUUGUGCGUUCAGCUGGCUUUGUUAUUAAUAAUUAAUUAUCUUAAUUAUGGACCGUGCGUAUAACGAGUUAUAGAAUAUAUUGGAUAGAUUGAAACAUUCUAUGUUCAAUUGUGAAGAUUAUAUUUAAGAAUAAUAAACGCUAAUUUGGUACAAAAUCUA